UUGCAUCAAUAAACAAGUCAGCUAUAGAAGAUAUCAAGAAGAAGGGUUUGAGGUUAUGCGAUUUGGCAACUGCUCUAAAGCAAAAUGUGCAUGAGGCAGCUAUUCUUAUCUACCUGAUAGAACCAUCUCCAGUAGAAAUAAAGACAUUAGAAAUUCUUCCAGAAUUGAUGGAGAUAGUGUGCACUUCAAAUAGAUAUAAAGGAAAACCAG
rnacentral:misc_RNA from 1 species